AAAAUACCUCAGGCUAAAUACUGUUAAUUUUGGGGAUGAAUAUUAAAGGUUUGACAGAGUGGACUAAUUGGGUUGUAAUUACAGGAAAGCCUAGAAUUCCUGGUUUUAAUAAAAUUACAUUGGGCUCAUUUUUAGAGGUGAUAAAGCGUCUGUUUUAAAAAUUUAGUAUUAAGGUCUUAGAAUAUAAACACAUUUUGUUACUUGUAUAGUACUAUCCAUUCCUCCUGAACUUUUAAUUAACUACUGGAAAUCCUUAACCAAUUGCAGUAGUUUAUAAAAAAAUGCCAUGAAAACACCUUCUGUUUGUCCUCUUUAUUUUCAAAAUGAUUUUGCUUGUUUUAAUUAGACAUUCUGCACUGAUUUUUUUUUUUUUUUUUUGGUACCCAUAGCUCAUCUGAAUACAGCCUUUUCUGAACUAAAAAAUUUUAAUCUGAA
rnacentral:lncRNA from 1 species